UACGUAGGUGGCAAGCGUUAUCCGGAAUUACUGGGCGUAAAGCGCACGCAGGCGGUCUUGUAAGUUUGACGUGAAAGCUCCCGGCUUAACUGGGAGAGGUCGUUGAAGACUGCAAGACUUGAGGAAAUGAGAGGGGUGUAGAAUUCCCGGUGUAGUGGUGGAAUGCGUAGACAUCGGGGGGAAUACCAGUGGCGAAAGCGGCACCCUAGCAUUUUUCUGACGCUCAUGUGCGAAAGCGUGGGGAGCGAACGGG
rnacentral:rRNA from 1 species